GAUGGUGUUGACUGCUGAAAUAAACUACUCAAUAGCUGUCAGAGGAUGAGAAUGUAAGGCUAAAACAUAAUAAAAAUUCAACUCAAUUUCCAUAUACAGGAGACUUACGGUGUUAAAACAAUACCGAUCUUGUGAAUUUUUACCAAGUCUCCGCAAACUAAUCUCAAAUUAUUCUAUAGCCUAAAACUUUCAACAAAAAUGCAAUUUUUUUUAGAAAGAAAACAAAAACAAAACAAAACAAAGAACAAAAACAAAGAAAACAAAACAAAGAACAAAAACAAAGAAAAUAAAGUAUUCCCUCCCCCACACUUAAAAUAUGCAUUGUCUUCAAUGAAAGAAACAAACAUAAAAUAAGAGAGAGAAGAGAGAGGAAAGAACACACCCGAGUAGUCAAUGAGGAUAGGUGAUCACAUAAGUAGCCUUUCC
rnacentral:lncRNA from 1 species